CUCAUCAUCCUCAUCAUCAUCAUCAUCCUCCUCUUCCUCUUCCUCUCAGGAGAGCGCGCUCUCUCCAGAUGCCUGAUGACCACUAAUCCAGCUUCCCUAUACUUCCCUAUAUACUGCAGUACUACGGUGGAGGAGAAGUUUCAUUACUGGAUACAAGACGUCUCCUGAAAAGUCUAUUGGUGCACCAGAUGUUUCAAGUUUCCACAUCACACUUGUUUUACGGUGCCAACGGCCAGAACGCUUUGGUCCCCAACCCCAAUGCCUUUCUGUUUCGGGCUGGUCUGGCUCCAGGAGGAGGCCCCUGGUCUCGCUUUUCCAGGUUUAAGGAGGAAAACACAGCCGCCGUGCCAGCUUCUCUCCGUGGAGAUCAAUCUGUUUACCACCAAAGACACACAGCCAGCAGAGAGAGAGAGAGAGAGAGAGAGAGAGAGAGAGAGAGAGAGAGAGAGACACUCAGGAAAUGAAAACUGCGGCACCACCUGGGGACUCCGAGCACCCCCCCACCAUCCUCAACAACAACCAGCUUUGGGUUUUGAUUUAUUCGAUUGAAGGACUCAAUCGACGACGUGUCCGAGCUGUACGGUCUCCAAACGUGGUGAUACUCGCUGCUGAUUGGAGCAGAGCGUUGUGACAUCAUCGGUGGAGGAGACGGUAGGUCUGCAGCUCUUUUACUCCACAGAGAGAGAAACUCUACAAACACCUGACAUGAAGCAG